rnacentral:lncRNA from 1 species
GGGGUCUUUAUGUUCUCCACGUUGCUCCCUGCCCAGUCACUGUGAGCUAGACCCACCUCUACUGAAGAUGUGGCUUCUAUUAGGUGGCUCUCCCUUAAUGCUACAGGCAUUGUCUCCCAGUUCUAGUACCUCCUUUCUCUUAGGCUUUGGCCUAGUGGGUAAGAGCUCUCUCCGUUGCUGGCCUUGGAGUGUUGCACUGGCCCUUGUUUCCUUUGACCCUGCCCACACCUACGAGAGAAACAAGAGAAAACAAUAUUGGCCCACCAGUUCUGUGAUACUGCUCUGUCCUUCAUGAUAGACGCUGUAAUCAAAACGGGAGCAACUACCGGUUCAUGCCCUGCUCGGAGACCUGUAAGCACGAACCAGGCAGCCCCUGUGCAGAGGACUGACUCCUGGGUGGGAAACCCAGUGACAGCUACGCAGGCAUACUUCCAGGCCCUGGGUAUAUAGCAACGAACGUGACAGACAAGGCUGCGUCCCUCAUGGAAUUCACAUGCCAACGGAAGAGAAAUAUAAUAAAUAAAUACACAAUAAAUAGAUAUACAAUAAACAAAGAAAUGAAAUGUAACUUCAGAUCACCACUUGACGCAAGCUGACGAUGGCGGAACAAGAGGAGAAGCAGGGAGACCACUUAGGAGGUCAUUACAACAAUCCAGGUGGACGAUGCUGGUAGCUUGGACUAGUGGCAAAGGUGAUGAGAAGCAGUAGGAUUUGGGAGGCGUUUUGAAGGUAGAAUGAACAGGACUUGGUGAUGGGCUGUACGGAGUAUAUGGAGUCAAGAAUGAGAGAAAUCAAGAAGGCAUCAGAUUCCAGAAA